rnacentral:rRNA from 1 species
GACGAACGCUGGCGGCGUGCUUAACACAUGCAAGUCGAACGGAAAGGCCUGCUUUCCCUUGUGGAUUGCGGGUACUCGAGUGGCGAACGGGUGAGUAACACGUGAGUGAUCUGCCCCCAACUUGGGUAUAAGCCUGGGAAACUGGGUCUAAUUCCCGAUAGGACUGCAGGGUGGUGCCUGUGGUGGAAAACGAUUUUCUAGUGGUUGGGGAUGAGCUCGCGGCCUAUCAGCUUGUUGGUGGGGUAAUGGCCUACCAAGGCGGCGACGGGUAGCCGGCCUGAGAGGGUGGACGGCCACAUUGGGACUGAGAUACGGCCCAGACUGCUACGGGAGGCAGCAGUGGGGAAUAUUGCACAAUGGGCGGAAGCCUGAUGCAGCGACGCCGCGUGGGGGAUGACGGCCUUCGGGUUGUAAACUCCUUUCGACCGCGAGGAAGCCACCUGGUUGGAAGGGUGGUGACGGUAGUGGUAGAAGAAGCACCGGCUAACUACGUG